AAACACACCCUAAACCAAACGAAUCAAACAUGCCCUUUCUCUCCCCGCAUCUUCUCCACCACGCCGGAGUGCGGCUGUCUCCGCCGCCUCCGCGGCGACCUCCCGAGAAAAUAUAGCGACUCUCCUCCACCAGCGAUGUCAUCACUUCGAGUUCGGAGGCGACCAACGGCAGCCUCGCGGGAGGAGGAGGAGCGCGGGGGGUCCACAUCCCAGUCGGCACGUCUCGGCCGUUCACCACGCCGGCGAAGACGGCUUGAUGCGGAAGCGGGAUUCGCGGCGGAGCCAGAGAGGACGCCGGCCGGCUGCUACUUACUGCCCAAGUCAGCCCAUGUUGUGGAAGAGAGGGACGCUGUCGCUGAUUUUGGCUGGGAAACGCUCUGGUUUUGGUGGGCACCUAGGAGACGAGCGCUCCAGACUGAGGUAGAUCCCCGCAGGUGAGCCAGCGCAUGUGAACUUCGUCCUCUGGUUCGGCUACUGAUUUCCCCGCGUCUCCUCUUACAGCGUGGCUUGAGUUCUCGUCUUCAAUAAAUCCUCAAUGGCACACUACAGUAAGUAAGGGAAGUUUCCAUCUCAAAAUUCAGUUCUCUGUUCUUUCUUGCAAGUAGAUGUCCAACACCAAGAAUUUGUUUAUUUUCCAUAGGGAGGGUGUGAAUGCUACUUCUGUACGUCAAGUUGGUGCAAGAUUUAGAAAUCUAGAUCAUGCUUGGCCGUUUGGGUUUAUAAUGGAGGUCAAGUAGGCUUAGAGGUAAAAACAAGUCUGAUAGCAAGGUGACUUCAUGUCAAUAUGUUUGUGCAAAGGAGGGUUAUCGACAACCGAGAUUGUGUGAUAAAUAAUCUCCCAUACGAUCAUGUGAUAAGAAUUAAGGCACCUAUGUUGGUGGAACAAGCAAAUUGUACACUGCCACCAUAUUUGAAGCGUUUCAAGGUCAAUAUGAAAGAUCAAUGGCUGCAUACACAAUAGUACUAGAGGAAUAUAACACAUGCCGUUGCAAAUUGGGAGUGGGGAUGGUGGUUUAGCUUUUGUGGAGGAGUGGAUUGUUAUUGGUAAUCUUUUAGAGCAAAUAACUUUAUGUAGUUGCGGGCUAUUUACAAGAACUGGCAUACUGUGUUGUCAUGCUUUGAAAGUUCUUGACUUGAUGAAUAUCAUGUUGUCGCUGAAACAAUAUAUAUUUUGAAGUGAUGGACAAGGGAGGCACGUUUGUGGAAUGAUACAAGACAAUCAAGGAAGAAGCAUUGUUGAAUAUCUAAAAUUGGAUGUUGUUAUAGGUUUCUCACAUAAAUGUCUGAACUUGGUGUAUACUCUAGCCGGCUUUCCGGAGUGUCUGUUAGUAGAUAAUGCACUUGAUAGUCUCCCUAAGAAGCUUGAGGAGAAAAUCAAUGCAUCUUCAAAUAUGGCAAGUAACUCACACAAUGCCCAAGAUGUUCGACAAGAAUAAGAUUUACCUAGUGUUGCAUGGCUCAAGAAAAAGGAGGUUCAACCAAGAAGUAAUAAGACACGAAAAAUAAGUUGGGUUGACAAAUUACGCAAGUUCAAAAACAAAGUUUCUACUAAAUCUAGCCAACAAGAAGAUUUUCCUGCUGUACUGACAAUGAAGAUGACUUGGAACAAAUCAGUGAGAUGGGUAGCAUCACUAGCUACAUUGAACUUCUGACUGUAAUAUAGCCUAGUUUAAUUGACAAUUUUGAUGCAAAAUUAUUUUUCUCUGGCUCACUUGUUCAUUUAUCAUUGCAGGGUCAUAGUCAGCUUGCUGAUUUAGCUCUUGAGCAUCUUCUUUAGGCCUCUGUUUUAGUAAUUACUGUCAUUGUGUAAUUUUGUUCAUGGAGCAAAACUGUGCAGUUUGAUUUACAACGCCAAAGCUGAAUGUAGUUUGACACUGCUCUUUUGCUUUGUUAAGCUGGGCGCUGUUCUUUUGCUUUACUAAGCUGGGCGCUGCUCUUUUGUUUGGUGAAGCUGGGAACUUUUGGUAACAAUACCAAGCCAAGUGUUUGUUUAAAUGUAGUGCUAAAUAGAGUGAAAAUCUGUACGAGACCUAAAAUAGAGCAAUGUCAGGCUGUGAGUGUGUUUUCCCUCUGUUUUUGGCUUAUUCUUGCAUUGGGCUGUGUCAUUUUUACCGAGAUCGAUGAGAAGGGAAGCAACCUCGGAUGCAGAUUAUAUGAUGGAUAAGAGGCCUAAGUCAGCCAAUGACUAGUUUCGGUCAAUGUUUUCUGCUUUACCUGUAG